CUGUAGUUUCUGAUCCCAUCACCAAGAUUAAUGACUGUAGUCUCAAAAUGAUUCAGAUAUAUAGACUCAUUUUACAUUUUAAGCAACUGAGGCUUAACAAAGCUAAGCCAUUGUCUUAAAUCACAACGGAAGUGCAUAGCAAAAUUAUGAAUUAAAUUCAGAUUACCCAAUUCCUCUAUCAACACUUUCACCAUACAACUAUUGUUCUGUUGUGAAGAAAGAAUAAAGCAAAUGACUCAUGCAUGCAUGCUUCUUUUUCUCUUCUAUGUAACUAUAACCAGAAGAGCACCACCUUAAGAAUCUGAAUAACUCAGCCUGAUCUUAAGGAGGAAAUACCCAAAAAUUAGUUUGGCUAAGAUUAAAAACCUGAGAUUUUUUUGAAGUCAUCAGUGAAGGCUGAUGGCCAAAAUAACUGGCUACUUGCAGGUAUUGUGCAGUAUUCCUAGCCACCACUUUGAAAAAUAAAACACUGGGACUAUGAAAGGGUAUGUUUGGUGAAAGAAUCCUGGUAACAGUAGGAUCAUAGCAAUAAGACCGGGGGAGGAAGGAAAGAAGGAAACAUUCUGAAGCUUUCCAGGAUUUCUGAAGUAAACAAACAAACAAACAGAACAGACAACAAAAUGGAAUGGAAGUGGUAUUAUUUGACAUUUUGUGGUGUUUUUCCUUUUUCAGAUGCAGUCCUUAUAUCACUUUCCUUUAUCCUUCUCUACCUACAGACUCAAUUCAUCUUCAUCCUAAAAUUAGCUCUCUUCAUGAAUUUGACUUUGCCAGUUCUAACUCUGCCUUAGCUUAGGACUUGUUUAGCUCAUUGUGGUCCCCAGUCAUUUUCUCCAGUCUCCCUUUACAUUCCCAGGCACACAUCUAGGUCUGCUGCCUGAAAACCCUUCAUUUAUUAUCAAACUUCUCGUCACCUCUCACUUCUGAUCGCUCUCUGCUUGCUCCCAUGCUCAUUGUUGUCUCCCUCCCUUACCCAGAAUUCAGGUUAGAAAAGCAGGUGUUGAAGUGGUAAAGUGAGACCCAUUCCUUCACAAACCCCCUGACAGAUGCAGAAACACUUGCUUUCCUGUCUCAGACCACUGGUACACUUGUGCAUGCAGCUGCUGCCGUAUCUAAAGGAACAGGAGAUCAGACAGCAUGAAUACUAUUCCUAGAUAUGGAAAACAUGUCCUGAUUUUAUGUGUCAGAAGAAAGUGAGCUCUGCACAGAGUCCUGCCUACUUAGCCUUUGCCUCCACUCAGUGCUGUGGUACUGGAAAUACUGCAUGAGAAUCAGGUGUGCUGCAGAUUUCAGGGACUACAGCAACUCUGGUACACCACCAAAAGCAGUUGCCAGGCACAAAGUGAAGACAGAAACAGACUUGUAGGAUCAACUGCCCCACAGCAACUUGUCUCCAAGUUUUGUGAUGUUAGGCACAGCACUGCCAUGAGCUUUUGGAUAGAUGCUUCACUAUCUUGGGAUUAUAAUUUUGGUAGUGGAUAUAUGAUUCAAAUGGAUAAAAUACAGAAAAUGAGCUACAGGGGAAGAAGACAUUGCAGCUGUACUCACUUUCUGUUCAGGAGAAUGGAGAAGGAUAAGAAUAUGAGCUGUUCCAUGAAGGGAUCCAUCUCUUGCUGCUGUACAGGACUGCGGAUUCUCCUGCAGUAGAGAUAAUCUACAACCGUUUAUUGCACAGCCCGCUGGAUUACUUGGAAUGUCUUUUUAUUUUUCAGGAGAAGAUCCAAAAACUGCAGUAAAGGAACAGUUUUGAAAGAUUUGAUAGGACUAUCACAUCAGCCUAUACCUCCAGUAGACAUGGAGUUAUGGGGUUCUGCAAAUUAGGGUGAAAAAAAGGACCAAAGGGGAUGCUCUGAUUUUCAGAAUACUUGGGAAGUGUGGAAGUGAGCCGUUUUGAGAGCCCUGUACAGAGAUCUCUGGAAAUUGAUGUCCAGCAAAUACUAAUCCUGCAGCUGCUGCAUGGAAGUGGUGUGCCCACCCUUGAUUAUCAGCUCAUACCAGAGAGAACAGUGGGAUACGUAACCAGCACACAAUCAUGGCCCAAUACCUGUCUAAAGAAGCAUAAUUUCUGCCCAGAUGAUGAAUGAGACAGAAAAGCACCACUGCUUUCUACACCUCUUCAUCUAGAGAUGUUGGGGUGAAGAGACUAACCCCUGUGUCUCUUCCAACAGAAAAAGCUGCUGCUUAAGCGUGUGAAAAAUACAGAGGCCUGAUGAUAUUUUCAAAAUCACCUGAAGCUUUUCAUUUUCUUCAGGACUUAGGGAAAUAUCUUGUCUGAUUAACUCUGCAUGGUCUUGUUCUUGGAACCAAAAGGCAAGCAGGUUGGCUCCUGCAGCUACAGCAAAAAGGAAAACAGCAGAACUGCCUGGCAAGUUUACGGGAACUGUCAUGCAGAGGAACGGCUGGGCCUAACAUCUGAUACCCUUCUUCACUUGCGGAAACAGAUCAAGUUCUGUCACUAAAAAAAGCCGAUAAUCUGACUAACCUAAGCAACAAUUUUCUCUAAUGGUGGCUCCACUUCGGGUGUUGCUAGUUUUAAACAUUAUUUUCCAAAAAUCCACAUUUCGGAGGGAGAGAUAUUUCUAUUACACAAUGUUUCAGUAAAAAGGACAAGGAUUGAAGAGAUUUGAAGACUGAACUCUUUCUUUCUUUCCAUGGCCACUCAAUCAACUUUUUUUACAUCAACAUCGUGGCUGACAGACUGCUCUAGUUGUGUUUGGCUUUCUGAUGACCUAAAGCCAUUCUCCACCCAUCUAUGAAGUAAUCUGUCUCUGAGUUAUUUGCUUGGAUGCCAGUUAAAGCUGCCGGACAGCAGAUAUGCUCUUGUAUAGCAGAAGUGUCCCACGUUCAAGUAUUGCAACCCAUGGCUGCUUUUCCUGCAAUAUUGAAAACGUGGAUUUCUCCAAGAUCACACCAGCAGACCUAUGUUAAGGAAUGCUCUCUCCUGUUAAAACCUUCUCACUUGAGGAAGAACGGGAGUAACAGGAGCCAGCUUUCCCUCUUAUUUCCUCCCAGUGGUUGUCUAUGCAAGGAAAGCUUUUUCAUCUGAAUGUGGUCUCCUAAUACUGAUUCUGAGUGAGUGGGAGGAUUCCUUCUUCUGGUCUCUCAGGGAGAAAGUCAUGAGAUAACCCCUGCUUUCUAGAGCAAGUAGCGCAGGGUGUCUAUGUGGCUGCAGCAGGUGAGCACAGAUGCAUGCAUUCACACUGAGAGGAUGCUGAAGCAGAGGUUAUUUCCAGUGCCUGAAGAAGUGAAACUCUGAGUGGCAGGACAUAUUUGUGGCUGGAGACACCAGAGUACCUGGCCAGUGGCAUAUACAGAGCCUUGUACGAAAUACUAAAAUUGAAGUUUUUCAUCUGACAAAGGAAAAUAAAUAAUAAUCCUAAUAACAGGAACCCAACUGCUCAGCUUUCUCAGUGGAUUCAAGGAGCUGCAGAGCAACAACCCCGUAGUUCUGUACGGAAAUCUAGUGCCUAUAUUGCUGGAAAGGUUUUUUCAAAUAGGACCUACAGGCAACAGUUUUGAAAUCCUUUUUGAAAUCCUACCUCAAAAGCUUAGAAGAGAAGAGAUCCGCACGUGAAGCAGUGGUCAUGCAUGCAGGUGCACAGGACUCGCCAUAUGGGAGACAGUCACCAGCCUUAGCGCCAGUACCUGCUCUCUGAACCUAUCACCUCCAGCUCCCUUCCUCAGCAGUCAGACGAGGCCCAGCUGCAACUAACGAUACUGAUCUGAUCUUGAAUAUAGUUUACAAGGAAGGAUAUUCCCUAGUAGCUCUUCAGACACAGUGUAAAUGACUCUAUACCUGACAACGUUUAGCUUGCAAUUAUAAAACAGAAGUGGUUGAGUGGUUUCACCCAGAGGUAAGACAAGAUGAGUGCUAAAAGCAUACUGUCUUCAUAUGAGGCCAGCCGUGUGGCUUACAAAAUAGAAGUCACUAGCUGGAAGGGGUCAGCGUUUAUUUAGUCACUUCUGAGUUAGAACCCUGAUCCUGUAAUUGCAUUCACAUGAUAAAGUCUCCCCCCAAAAGUAGUGCUAGGUUCUUUGUAUAUAAAUGUGAAGAUUUUGCCACAUAUAACCACAGAUUCACCUGUCUGUCCUUCCUCUUUUCUGCUCCUUGUUUAUCUUUUGUUGCAGAGCUGUUAGCAGCAGCCUUACUGGGUUUCAGGCUCUUUGGCAUACUGGCUAAUUCCUUUUCCUCUUCUAGGAUGGCACCUUAACCAUGUCCCUCCCAAAUGAAGCAUAAGUUCUGCCUGCAGGAUACUUCAAAUCUCAGAAUUUGAGACCUAAAACAUUGUUUUCAGUUUUGGAGUAGUGAAUGUCUUUGACAAAUACAAAGUUACACUUCUCGUGUGCAUGACUGGAGUGUGAAUAUACAUAAAAUACAAAGACAGGACUAAAGACUGGCUGAGAAAACACUCUAUUAACUGGAGAGUUCUUGCUAUACAAUAAGUAUACUAAUUACAUAGAUAGCCAAAGCAACAUACCCAAAACAAACAGCAAAGAUUCCCUCCUUUUCCACAACAAUUAAUGAAGUUCAAACAAAGCAAAAAUAAAAUUUAAAAAAACGGGGUGGGGGAGCAUGAUGACUUGGAGGAGGAGUGGGAGUAAAACUUUUUAAUGUGCGUGGAGAUACAGAGGAACUUUUGUCAAAUGUCUGUGACAAAACAGCUCAGAGUAUCUGGUAUACGUGCAGAGUCUGCUGACCAGCAAAGAGGUGUCGUGAGAAAGAGCUCCGUAGGCGCAGCCUGCUGAGAGUGGUCCAUGGGAUCCAAGGAGGAGAAUCUGUUUUGGUAUCAGCAGUUUCCUCUGUAAUUAGAGAGUAGCACCAGCUUUAAAAACAAUCAUUCUGAUGUUCUCCUUCAGAUGGAAACUUCAGUUUUGAAGUGGACGGUUGUUUACUGUGAACUGGAUUGAAACCAGCAACUCUGUCUUUGGUAGCAGCCAUUAGACAGUAACAUAUUUUAGCUGCAUAUUACAAAAUGAAGCAGAUUAAGACAAAGGCCCAAAGGGUGAAAUGUACUUUAUUUCCUUCCCAGUCUUCUGAACUAGUAUAUUUUCCCCACAGUGUACAAAUUGUAUACUUUUUAUAUUUGAGACAAGCUAGGAAGAAAGGAGUUAAAUCGUUUAACUCUUUAUUCCAUUUCUCCUAACAAUUUACAGCCACUCAUGGCAAUUAUAUAGCCACCUAUCAGUCCAGGUGGGUAACGCUUUACUCACACCCAGAGUGAUGUAAGUGCAGGGGGAGGAACAGGGCAAUCACGCUCAACAGUCAGGCUGCAGCAGGGUCGCGCUGUGCCAGGGGCACGGGUCUGUCCCCCGCUCAGCUGUGGCUCUGGCACACGGUCGCAGCUCUACAGAGGAGCAUGGUGAUUUUUAUUGAUAGACGAUUCUUUGGCAAACUAUGAAAAUAAUUUUGUUGGAGAAGGGAAAAAAAAAAAUCUCUUGCUACAGGGCUUUCUUCCUGCAAAUUUCAAAGGUCUGCUGUGAAUAAUAGUGUUAGAGCUUCCAAGCUACAAGAAUAUUUUAUAGUGGAAAGUGUUAGGCAACCAAAACAAAUAUCAGUUCCCACUGUUACAAAGUAAGAUUUAUUAUUGUUUAUGUUGUACCUUAAAACCUGCAAUAAAUGACAUUGUUUUGAGAAGCGACA